AACGAACGCUGGCGGCAUGCCUAACACAUGCAAGUCGAACGAGACCUUCGGGUCUAGUGGCGCACGGGUGCGUAACGCGUGGGAACCUGCCCUUAGGUUCGGAAUAACUCCCCGAAAGGGGUGCUAAUACCGGAUAAUGUCUUCGGACCAAAGAUUUAUCGCCUUUGGAUGGGCCCGCGUUGGAUUAGCUAGUUGGUAGGGUAAAAGCCUACCAAGGCGACGAUCCAUAGCUGGUCUGAGAGGAUGAUCAGCCACACUGGGACUGAGACACGGCCCAGACUCCUACGGGAGGCGGCAGUGGGGAAUAUUGGAAAAUGGGCGAAAGCCUGAUCCAGCAAUGCCGCGUGAGUGAUGAAGGCCUUAGGGUUGUAAAGCUCUUUUACCCGGGAUGAUAAUGACAGUACCGGGAGAAUAAGCUCCGGCUAACUCCGUG
rnacentral:rRNA from 1 species